rnacentral:rRNA from 1 species
UACGUAGGGUGCAAGCGUUGUCCGGAAUUAUUGGGCGUAAAGAGCUCGUAGGCGGUCUGUCGCGUCGGAUGUGAAAAUCCAGGGCUCAACCCUGGACCUGCAUUCGAUACGGGCAGACUAGAGUUCGGCAGGGGAGACUGGAAUUCCUGGUGUAGCGGUGAAAUGCGCAGAUAUCAGGAGGAACACCGGUGGCGAAGGCGGGACUCUGGGCCGAUACUGACGCUGAGGAGCGAAAGCGUGGGGAGCAAACAGG